CCCGGAAGCAACUGCUUAGGCCACGCCCCUGUCCAUGAAGUUGGUCCCAAGCGCGCGUGGAUCCUAUGGACCCCACGUGUGAAGAGAGUCCUGCAGAGGACUCAAACAAUGAAGAGGAAGACCUUGACUCCACGAAGGCAGCACCCCGGAUCCGUGAUACCCCAGAAGACAUCGUGCUGGAAGCCCCAGCCAGUGGCCUGGCGUUCCAUCCGACUCGAGAUCUGCUGGCAGCAGGGGACGUGGACGGAGAUGUGUUCGUCUUUGCCUACUCUUGUCAGGAGGGAGAAACCAAGGAACUCUGGUCCUCAGGACACCACCUCAAGUCCUGCCGGGCUGUUGUCUUCUCAGAGGAUGGGCAGAAACUUGUUACCGUCUCUAAGGACAAAGCAAUCCACAUCUUAGAUGUCGAACAGGGACAAUUGGAAAGGCGAAUUUCCAAGGCCCACAGUGCCCCCAUUAACAGUGUGCUGCUUGUGGAUGAGAAUGCUCUGGUUACGGGGGACGACACUGGUGGCAUCCGGCUAUGGGACCAGCGUAAAGAGGGCCCUUUGAUGGAUAUGCGGCAGCAUGAGGAGUACAUUGCCGACAUGGCUCUAGACCCAGCCAAAAAGCUGCUGCUGACAGCCAGUGGGGAUGGCUGCCUUGGUGUCUUCAACAUCAAGAGACGCCGGUUUGAGUUACUCUCAGAGCCUCAGUCAGGAGAUCUAACCUCCGUCGCCCUCAUGAAAGUACAGCUGGUACGGGAAGAAGGUGGCCUGUGGAUCUAGCGAGGGGACCAUCUACCUCUUCAACUGGAAUGGUUUUGGGGCUACAAGUGACCGCUUUGCCCUGAGAGCAGAGUCCAUCGACUGCAUAGUUCCAGUCACUGAGAAUCUGUUGUGCACUGGCUCCACGGAUGGAAUCAUCAGGGCUGUGAACAUCCUGCCAAACCGAGUGGUAGGUACCGUGGGCCAGCAUGCCGGGGAGCCUGUGGAGGCGCUAGCCCUAUCCCAUUGCGGCCACUUUCUGGCCAGUAGUGGCCACGACCAGCGCCUCAAGUUUUGGGACAUGACUCAGCUUCGAACCGUGGUUGUGGAUGACUAUCGGCGACGCAAGAAAAAGGGAGGGCCGCUUCGUGCCCUGAGCAGUAAGGCUUGGAGCACGGACGACUUCUUUGCAGGGUUGAGGGAAGAUGAAGAGGAUGCCAAGGCUCCAGAGGAGGUGGUGAGGGAGAGCGAUGACGAUGACGACGACAGUGACUGAGGGAGGGACAAGGAGCUGUUUUCUGGGACAGAUUUCCCCAAAGAACUCUGUUGAUGCUGUAGAUUGAACCUACCACCUUGAACAUGAUCAGCUCAGCUCUACCACUGAUUAUCUAUAUUCUGUGUCAUGUAAGAAAUGACAUGAACUCAGGGCCCCGAAGAAGGGAAGUAUUUGCUCCCCCUAUCAUUGUAAAACAAACUCUAUGACCACUACAGCAAGACACAUGUAUACCAAGCAGACACAUGUAUACCAACUGGGGUUUUAAUAUAAAUAAAACCAGUAU